rnacentral:rRNA from 1 species
GUUUGAUCCUGGCUCAGGAUGAACGCUGGCGGCGUGCCUAACACAUGCAAGUCGAACGCGAAAGGGGGCAACCCCCGGUAGCGUGGCAGACGGGUGAGUAACACGUGGGUAACCUACCCGGAGGUGGGGGAUAACCCUUCGAAAGGAGGGCUAAUACCGCAUGACACCGUGGGGACCUCGGUCCUUGCGAUCAAAGCUGGCCUCUGUUUACAAGCUAGCGCCACCGGAUGGGCCCGCGCCCCAUUAGCUAGUUGGUGAGGUAACGGCUCACCAAGGCGACGAUGGGUAGCCGGCCUGAGAGGGCGAUCGGCCACACUGGAACUGCGACACGGUCCAGACUCCUACGGGAGGCAGCAGUGAGGAAUAUUGCGCAAUGGGCGAAAGCCUGACGCAGCGACGCCGCGUGGAGGAUGAAGGUCUUCGGAUUGUAAACUCCUGUCGAGUGGGACGAAUGCCGUGGAGGUUAAUAGCCUUCGCGGUUGACGGUACCGCUGGAGGAAGCCCCGGCUAACUCCGUGCCAGCAGCCGCGGUAAUACGGAGGGGGCUAGCGUUGUUCGGAAUCAUUGGGCGUAAAGGGCGCGUAGGCGGCCGAUCAAGUCGGAGGUGAAAUCCCUCGGCUCAACUGAGGAAUUGCCUUCGAUACUGUUCGGCUUGAGUCCUGGAGAGGGUAGCGGAAUUCCCGGUGUAGCGGUGAAAUGCGUAGAGACCGGGAAGAACACCAGUGGCGAAGGCGGCUACCUGGACAGGUACUGACGCUGAAGCGCGAAAGCUAGGGGAGCAAACAGGAUUAGAUACCCUGGUAGUCCUAGCUGUAAACGAUGGGCACUUGGUGUUGCGGGUAUCGACCUCUGCAGUGCCGAAGCUAACGCAUUAAGUGCC